rnacentral:lncRNA from 1 species
UCCGGCCACUCUGUCUCCGUUGAACACAGAUUGAACACGAACGGGUAAGGAGCUGCUUGCUUCUUUUUUCCAUCUUCAACUGCUAAAAGAACAUCGGUCUUGUUUCUAUUCUAGCUUAUUUAUGAGAGUAUAAAUAAGUAUAAAUUUUAUAAUUGAAUUAUUUUAAUAAAUAAAAAAUAUAUAGCUCGUGUUUGAUUCCAGUAGGAAUAAUGAGUAAUAAGUGAGCUUUAAUCUAGACAGAAGGAAAGGGAAAAUUGAGCAUUCUUUCCAAGUCCAAAGGGAACCAAAAUAGAAAAAACACAAACAGUAAUGGCAGGAUCGAUGGAUUAUUGCUUUGGCAGAGGCUAAUGUUCAAUUGUGUGUGUUUUUUUUAAAAUCAUAUAUAUAU